rnacentral:misc_RNA from 1 species
ACCAAGAAGAUGUGUGUUGCGUGAAGUGCUCACACAGAUUGUCUGAUGAAAAUACUGAGCAAGCGCACCUGUUGAUGCGAUGAGUGACAACUCAUGCUGACGCGAUAGUGCCGGAUUUUUAAUUCGGUACGGAUUUUUCGUGUCCCCAUCGUCUAGAGGCCUAGGACACUGCCCUUUCACGGCUGUAACAGGGUUCGAAUCCCCUUGGGGACGCCAAUCCGAUAAUGAGUGAAAGACAUUAUCAUGAAUAUCUUAAAGAUGAUUCUUCGGAGUCAUGUUUACGAUAUUGCUCUUUAACAAUCUGGAACAAGCUGAAAAUUGAAACAUGACAGCUGAACAUACUGACACAACAGUAAUGUGGUGUGAGUGAUGCAUCAGUCUGUCAAUGAGUCUCUCAAAUAAUCGCAGCGCGAGGUUGGCUUUAUUUAUUAAAGACACCUUCGGGUUGUGA